rnacentral:rRNA from 1 species
UACGGAGGGGGGCUAGCGUUGUUCGGAAUUACUGGGCGUAAAGCGUACGUAGGCGGCUUUUGUAAGUUAGAGGUGAAAGCCCGGAGCUCAACUCCGGAAUUGCCUUUAAGACUGCAUCGCUUGAAUCAUGGAGAGGUGAGUGGAAUUCCGAGUGUAGAGGUGAAAUUCGUAGAUAUUCGGAAGAACACCAGUGGCGAAGGCGACUCACUGGACAUGUAUUGACGCUGAGGUACGAAAGCGUGGGGAGCAAACAGG